rnacentral:rRNA from 1 species
UACGGAGGGGGCAAGCGUUGUCCGGAUUUACUGGGCGUAAAGGAUGCGUAGGCGGAUACUUAAGUCAGAUGUGAAAAUCCCGGGCUUAACUUGGGAACUGCAUUUGAAACUGGGUAUCUAGAGUGCGGGAGAGGAGAGUGGAAUUCCUGGUGUAGCGGUGAAAUGCGCAGAUAUCAGGAAGAACACCCGUGGCUAAGGCGGCUCUCUAGUACGGUACUGACGCUGAGACGCGAAAGCGUGGGGAGCGAACAGG